rnacentral:rRNA from 1 species
AUGUCGCCGAGAUACCCCAUGGCGCCAUUGCCAUUGCCAACUCGGGAAACAGCCCAAAUUAAACACCGUGAUCGUUGGUCCAUGCGUGCGGCCGUGAAGGUUUGCUGGUUGGGCUUGCAAGUCCACGGCGACUCGGUCAUGGCGAUGGACAUGGUGGCCAGCCUGGGAAAGCAGCGCGGCGUCAGCCACUCGGUCUCGUUCCUCCUCGGGGCCCUUCUCCCCACCCUCAUGCUCUUCUUCCUCGCCUCCGAUCGGGGCUUCCAGUUCGGGAAUGGAUCUACUCACCAGCUGACUACUAGCAAUGCUACUAACCUCCCGGGUGACGGCUCGGACGGCGAAAAGGAGGAAAGAUUCCCGGGACUCGCUGAGUUGCUGCCAAAGGUUGCCAUGGACGACGGGACGGUGAUCAUCACGUCGGUGAACGAGGCGUGGGCGCGCCCAGGCUCCCUCCUCGAUCUCUUCCUCGGCAGCUUCCGCGACGGCGAGGGGAUCGCGCACCUCCUCAACCACACCCUCAUCGUCGCCGCCGACCCCGGCGCCUUGGCACUUUGCCAGGCCGUGCACCCGCACUGCUACCUCCACGAGGUCACCUCCGCCAACGUUAGCUCCCCUAACCGCUUCAUGACCAAGAGCUAUCUCGAGCUCAUCUGGGCCAGGCUCGAGGUCCCACAACGUAUCCUCCAGCUUGGCUACAACUAUCUCUCCACCGAUGUGGAUGUCAUGUGGUUGCGCAACCCGUUCCGGCACAUUAGCCUUUACGCCGACAUGGCCAUGUCGACCGACCGCUUCAACGGCAAUGCCGAGGACCUACAAAAUGUGGGAAACGGCGGCUUCUACUACAUUAGGUCGACAAACCGGACGGUGGAGAUGCUAAGACGCUGGCUGGCAGCGCGGUCGCGGUUCCCCUCCGCCCAUGACCAAGGAGUGCUGAACGAGAUCAAGGCCGAGCUCGCAGCCGGGGACCUACAGAUCAAGUUUGUGUUCCUUGAUACCGUGAUCUUUGACGGUUUCUGCCAGUUCCAUGAAGAGAUGGACAAGGUAUGUACGAUGCACGCCAAUUGCUGCAUCGGGCUCGAGAACAAGGUGCACGACCUCACCAACAUGGUUGCCGAUUGGAAGAACUACACGAGCAAGACACCAUCGGAAAAGUUCAAGUGGACGUUCCCCACCAAGUGCAAGGCGUCGAUGGGAAAACGCUAA